rnacentral:rRNA from 1 species
UACGUAGGGUGCGAGCGUUAAUCGGAAUUACUGGGCGUAAAGCGUGCGCAGGCGGUAAUGUAAGACAGGUGUGAAAUCCCGAGGCUUAACCCUUGGGAACUGCAUUUGUGACUGCAUUGCUGGAGUGCGGCAGAGGGGGAUGGAAUUCCGCGUGUAGCAGUGAAAUGCGUAGAUAUGCGGAGGAACACCGAUGGCGAAGGCAAUCCCCUGGGCCUGCACUGACGCUCAUGCACGAAAGCGUGGGAGCAACAGG